GACGAACGCUGGCGGCGUGCUUAACACAUGCAAGUCGAACGGAAAGGCCCUGCUUUUGUGGGGUGCUCGAGUGGCGAACGGGUGAGUAACACGUGAGUAACCUGCCCUUGACUUUGGGAUAACUUCAGGAAACUGGGGCUAAUACCGGAUAGGAGCUCCUGCUGCAUGGUGGGGGUUGGAAAGUUUCGGCGGUUGGGGAUGGACUCGCGGCUUAUCAGCUUGUUGGUGGGGUAGUGGCUUACCAAGGUUUUGACGGGUAGCCGGCCUGAGAGGGUGACCGGCCACCUUGGGACUGAGAUACGGCCCAGACUCCUACGGUCGGCAGCAGUGGGAAAUAUUGCCCAAUGGGCGGGAGCCUGAUGCAACAACGCCGCGUGCGGGAUGACGGCCUUCGGGUUGUAAACCGCUUUCGCCUGUGACGAAGCGUGAGUGACGGUAAUGGGUAAAGAAGCACCGGCUAACUACGUG
rnacentral:rRNA from 1 species